rnacentral:rRNA from 1 species
CCUACGGGAGGCAGCAGUAAGGAAUAUUGGACAAUGGACGCAAGUCUGAUCCAGCCAUGCCGCGUGAAGGAUUAAGGCCCUCUGGGUUGUAAACUUCUUUUAUAGGGGACGAAAAAAGGGCUUUCUAGCUCGACUGACGGUACCCUAUGAAUAAGCACCGGCUAACUCCGUGCCAGCAGCCGCGGUAAUACGGAGGGUGCAAGCGUUAUCCGGAUUCACUGGGUUUAAAGGGUGCGUAGGCGGGCAUUUAAGUCAGUGGUGAAAUCUUCGAGCUCAACUCGGAAACUGCCAUUGAUACUAUUUGUCUUGAAUAUUGUGGAGGUGAGCGGAAUAUGUCAUGUAGCGGUGAAAUGCUUAGAUAUGACAUAGAACACCGAUUGCGAAGGCAGCUCGCUACACAAAUAUUGACGCUGAGGCACGAAAGCGUGGGGAUCAAACAGGAUUAGAUACCCUGGUAGUCCACGCCCUAAACCUAUGGAUACUCGACAUUUGCGAUACACAGUAAGUGUCUGAGNGAAGANAUAUAUCCACCNCGGAGACGACGCGAGUAGAACGUACGAAGAAGUAGACGACGUGAGAGAGACGACGGACGACGACGAGGGAGGAGG